CUGUGUCGAUACCGACACUACUGUUGUGGGAUGUGAACUUAAGGAACCGCCCUCUUUUUCCCGACUGAAAAAAAAAAAAAAGGAGACUCCCUCUAACUUGGUUCACCUCGACACACACCUGUAGACCUUUUGUUCGUGAAAUGUGAACCAAGAGGAAGAAGGAGAAGAAUAGGGGAGAAAAAAAAACCCUUUGUGUCCUGGGGGAGUCUGAAGGAAGAAAUUGAAAUGUGACAGGAUGCUACUUAUUGUGGACGGUGCACAAGAUUUCUGAGAUGUCUUUUUUUUUUUAUCUACGACUGUACUCUGCAAAGAAACCCUAAAACAACUAAAAACUCUUAAACAAACGGCGGAAGAUGAUAGACAGUUAAAUAUUGGGAUCAUCAGUUGUACCGUAUAUAUAAAACUCAUUUUAUCUAAUCCAUCAACAGUUCAUAAGAGAUAGACAUCUGGUUGGAAGUGUGAGCACACUGUAGUUCUCUUUAUGUUAAACACACCCACAUUUUUGGUGGUUUAUCUUAGAUUAGCUUGUCUUCCAUUUUUUAUGGUUUAAUCACACAAAAUCAAUGCGUAAUAGCCUUGAUUUGUUUACACUACUAGUUAAACAGUCCUUAUCUGUCCGACAGAUAAGAGCUGUAAAAUCAUUGACUGAUAAGCUGUUUCCACCUGCUCAUCACUUACUGUUUGGACGGGUUACUUCACUAUAUUCAUCCAAAAAAGCCAGUGUAGAAUUGCAAAUUAUAUAUAUAUUGUAGAUCAAUUAAACCACACUAUCUCACUACGUUGGUAAGCUCAGCAUCGGUAGAUAAAAACUGAAUAAAACCAAAGAACACAGGAUCAACAAGUGCAAGUAGUUUAUUGUCAAGAAAUAUUAUUCGUGAUCAUUGAAGCAACUUAACUCUUCUUUUAUUUCCCAUGAUUGUCAUCCAUUUCAGCUUAAAUGACUCAAACAUAAUCAACAAAUAUUUCUAUUCGUGUCACCUUUCCAGGUAUAUAGUAACAUAAAGGCAUUAGGCAUUAAAGCACAGGU